rnacentral:rRNA from 1 species
CUUGGUCAUUUAGAGGAAGUAAAAGUCGUAACAAGGUCUCCGUAGGUGAACCUGCGGAGGGAUCAUUACAAGUGACCCCGGUUUACCACCGGGAUGUUCAUAACCCUUUGUUGUCCGACUCUGUUGCCUCCGGGGCGACCCUGCCUUCGGGCGGGGGCUCCGGGUGGACACUUCAAACUCUUGCGUAACUUUGCAGUCUGAGUAAACUUAAUUAAUAAAUUAAAACUUUUAACAACGGAUCUCUUGGUUCUGGCAUCGACGAAGAACGCAGCGAAAUGCGAUAAGUAAUGUGAAUUGCAGAAUUCAGUGAAUCAUCGAAUCUUUGAGCGCACAUUGCGCCCCCUGGUAUUCCGGGGGGCAUGCCUGUUCGAGCGUCAUUUCACCACUCAAGCCUCGCUUGGUAUUGGGCAACGCGGUACGCCGCGUGCCUCAAAUCGACCGGCUGGGUCUUCUGUCCCCUAAGCGUUGUGGAAACUAUUCGCUAAAGGGUGCUCGGGAGGCUACGCCGUAAAACAACCCAUUUCUAAGGUUGACCUCGGAUCAGGUAGGGAUACCCGCUGAACUUAAGCAUAUCAAUAAGCGGAGGA